CCCCCCUUUCUCUCCCCCUCCACCCUCUAUCUCUCCCUCUAUCACUCUCUCUCACUCCUUGGCCCAUCUUUCCCUCGCUGCCCUGGGACGCAGACUUCGUUUCAGAGAGUUGGAAUGUUUUCAUCACAGCCACUGAGGAGUGAAUAACACGAAAUCUCAAAGCACUUUCACGGUUUCCUCCAAAUAAGGAAGAGAUGAACUAGAUACACAUGCCUUGAACAAUUAACGGACCAUGGCAACGAGAAGAUCCCAAAUUCAAGCAGACAGACAGAAAAUGAGAGCAGAGACACCAGGCUUCCAUAUGCAUUCGGCUGUCUUGUGAACCCAGGAAACUGACCUGAGAUGGAAACCAAAUGAAUGGCACAAACUGUCUCCCUUUAGAAUACAACCAACCAAGUGAUCUCUCUCAGCUAUCACCCUCUGUACCCCUCGGCUCCUGGCACUGUUCUAUAGCAUUGAUUCCAGAGGAUGCUGCAUUGGGGAGAUGUUCCCCUUCAAUGGUAAACCUAUUAUCUCUGAUAAAAAUGCACUGUCAGAAGCAUGACUACUCAGCCUUCUGUAAUACUUCCGUACAACAAAACAACAAAAGUCAAGACUUCACAUUAAACCCUCCAAUGCGGUGUUUUUGAAUGUGUGCUUUUGCAGCUCUUCUUUUU